GGCACCUUCGGUGUCCGAGUUGUAAUUUGAAGAAGGUAACUUUGGAGUUGGCUCUUGUCUAUGUUCCUUGGAACAGGACGUCACAGAGGGUGAGAAUCCCGUGCGAUGAGAUGUCCAACUCUAUGUAAAGUGCUUUCGAAGAGUCGAGUUGUUUGGGAAUGCAGCUCUAAGUGGGUGGUAAAUUCCAUCUAAAGCUAAAUAUUGGCGAGAGACCGAUAGCGAACAAGUACAGUGAUGGAAAGAUGAAAAGAACUUUGAAAAGAGAGUGAAAAAGUACGUGAAAUUGUUGAAAGGGAAGGGUUUGAGAUCAGACUUGGUAUUUUGUAUGUCUUGCUUUCGGGUGGGGCCUCUGCAGUUUACUGGGCCAGCAUCGGUUUGGACGGUAGGAUAAUGACAUUGGAAUGUGGCACUACUUCGGUGGUGUGUUAUAGACUUUGUUGAUACUGCCUGUCUAGACCGAGGACUGCGUCUUUGACUAGGAUGCUGGCAUAAUGAUCCUAAACCG
rnacentral:rRNA from 1 species